GAGGGUGUAGCUCAAGUGGUAGAGUGCAUUCUUAGCAAGCAUGAGGUCCUGGGCUCAAUCCCCAGCGUCUCCU
rnacentral:tRNA from 1 species